ACACACACACCAUAUUGCUUAGCCAGCCAUAAUCGUGGCAAGGAUGAGAAGUAGUUUGAGAAAGGAAACACUUGAAGCGGUCUGGAAUCAACGUAUCAAACCCUCAUCAACACCGUCUCGCGAAACCAAUAAACGCACUAUUCCGCGCAGCGGACCUCUGUGAGAACACCCGCCUCAUUCCACCGGUGUUUCGUGACAGAGUCGGAAUGUUCUUGUGUGCACACUUUGCAGGCGGCGUCGAUUAACGGCAACGUUAAGGAGCAACACAGAGGUGGGGAAACAUUCAUGGCGCACGUUAUUCUGAGCGUUAUAAAAAAUAUAUGAGGGACUUAGGCAAAGGUUAUUUCACCUGGAAUACUUUCACAGUACAUAACGUUAACGCGCAAAUAAGUUGUGCACGAUCAGGUAAAAAUCGAUGCUUUCUCUAUAGUUGCUACGAACAUGGAAACAACCGGGGUAGGUGAGAGAAAAUCCUUGAAAGAAAUUAGUGACUGUAACUGUUGUUUUGUUGCCAAAAGACGAGACUAUAAUCAAUAGAGGAGUGCUGCAACAGUUUGUGGAAAUAAUUUCCCAGCCAUCAUCGUCGCUCAGGGUUGAGUAAGAUGCGAGACUGUCGUGAGGAUCAACAGAAUUCAGCUCAGAGGCACAUCGCUUGAUAACUGAACACUUCAUAACUGCCAGUGGAUUCCAAGAUCAACCCUGCAAAAAUCGUGAGGAAACAGCCAUGUCCACACCAUGGGAUUUUAAACCAUUUCACCAAGAGCAAACGAUUCUCAGUGAAAACUGGGCUUAUCUUAAAGGCAUAUCUGCAGCGUGAAUCUUAAGAAACUGGAAAGAGACUGGAAGGUUUACAUAGUCACCCUCCUUGGAAAUAUUGUAAAGACAAUCAGCCCUGAAAACGUUUUACGUCUUUACUGCCAUCCGUUUUUUUUUGUGUGUGUGUUUGUCUGUGUCAUCGGUUUAUUGAACAUUCUCACCUAAAAUACGUGAAGAAGGGCAUACAUUUGAUGACUCAAUUCAUAUCUGAUUUCUUUCAACUAUUUUAAAUUUGCACACCGGAUUAUUCAUUUGGUCUUUCUUUACAUGCUGAAUGAGGAUAUGCACAUUCAUUUUAGUUCAGUAAUGUAGAGGUUUGCAGGCAGAGAUGCUGAACAAACUCAAAAUGAUUCCUCAUCACACUGCCCUCAAACCCUCAAAGGAGUUCACCAUUCUGAGUAGUCCUGUUAACACGUAAACAAGAACAAGAAGAUUAGUUUCUGAGGUUGUUUUUUUUUUCACCAAGUGUAUGGAAAUUGUUUAUACUAGUUAAUAAUAGUAAACAUUCAGGGAGCAUAACCGGUCAGGGAAAUCUGCUUAAAGACUAAGUGCCAUUGCUGAAUGUAAGGAGUGCCCAAAUAAAAUAAAAUAAAUUGUGAAGACAAGCAAAACUUUAG